UCUCUUUCUUAUCUCCAAACAACACAGUCCUUUCUCUUUCUCUUUCUGUUUCUAGGGUUUAUAGGAAUAUCCAAAGUUUUUUCAGCUCAAACUAUGAAAUCCUCCAUGAGAACUAGAACUUCCAGAUCUGCAACCCCAUCAUUUCACACAUUCUUGAAACCAGGUGCACUUGCCCAGCUUAGAUACUCCAAAAUCUCGGCUAAAUCAAGGUUGAAAAAUGCUCAAUCUUAUCAGCACAUACCCCUUUCGGUGGUACCUUCAUCCCUUCCUUUACCAACCAUGGAAAGCCUUCCCUGUUUCAAUUCAUCGAUCCGGAUUCGCCAGCCUCGGUUUAUCCAGAGAAAGAAGCUCAGCGCCGUUGCGCCCAUUUUUACUGAAUCCAAUUCUUGAUCCUUCAGUUGGGUGAGACGCCUCCAGUUUCAACCCCGGUCUGCUGUUGAUCUUAUUGGGGUUUCAGAUUAGUAAGUUAUAGUGAAAAAAUAUACAUAAAAAAAAGUGUAUCUUUGUUAGAUCGGGAGUUCUUUCUCCCCUUCAAAAAUUUUAAUUUGGUUAUUUUCUUGGGGCCUAGUAUUGAUGUCGGUAAGUGGGGCGAAGAUCGUUUGCAGUACAUUCUCUUUUCAUUUCAACAAACAAAAGAUGUAGAAAUAUACAGUUCAUAUGAAUAAAGAGAUCUACAUAGUUAUCUUUUCUGUCUUGAAUGAGUUUCACCUGG
rnacentral:misc_RNA from 1 species